UUAGAGUUUGGAUCAUGGCUCAGAUUGAACGCUGGCGGCAGGCCUAACACAUGCAAGUCGAGCGGUAACAGGAGAAAGCUUGCUUUCUUGCUGACGAGCGGCGGACGGGUGAGUAAUGUAUGGGGAUCUGCCCGAUAGAGGGGGAUAACUACUGGAAACGGUGGAUAAUACCGCAUAAUGUCUACGGACCAAAGCAGGGGCUGUUUKGACCUUGCACUAUMGGAUGAACCCAUAUGGSAUUAGCUAGUAGGUGGGGUAAAGGCUCACCUAGGCGACGAUSUGUAGCUGGUCUGAGAGGAUGAUCAGCCACACUGGGACUGAGACACGGCCCAGACUCCUACGGGAGGCAGCAGUGGGGAAUAUUGCACAAUGGGCGCAAGCCUGAUGCAGCCAYGCCGCGUGUAUGAAGAAGGCYUUAGGAUCGUAAAGUUCUUUCAGCGGGGAGGAACGUGAUCAGGWKAAUACCCYUGUCCAUUGACGUUACCUGCAGARRAAGCCCCGGCUAACUCCGUGCCAGCAGCCGCGGUAAUACGKAGGGUGCAAGCGUUAUUCGGAAUUACUGGGCGUAAAGCGCRCGCAGGCGGUCAWUUAAGUCAGAUGUGAAAGCCCCGRGCUCAACUGGGGARKGUCAUCUGAAACUGGUUGGCUAGAGUSYAGUAGAGGAGRGUAGAAUUCCAUGUGUAGCGGUGAAAUGCGUAGAGAUGUGGAGGAAUCCCCAUGGCGAARGCGGCCCCCUGGACAAUAGACUGACGCUCAGGGCGAAAGC
rnacentral:rRNA from 1 species